GGCUCAGUACACGUAGGUAACCUACCCUUAGGACUGAGAUAACCCGGGAAACUGGGGCUAAUACCAGAUAGAUAAAAGAUACUGGAAUGUUCUUUUAUCCAAAGCUUUUGUGCCUAAGGAUGGGCUUGCGUCCGAUUAGGUUGUUGGUGGGGUAAUGGCCCACCAAGCCUGCGAUCGGUACGGGCAGUGGGAGCUGUAGCCCGGAGUUGGGGACUGAGACAAGGCCCCAGGCCCUACGGGGCGCAGCAGGCGCGAAACCUCUGCAAUGCGGGAAACCGUGACAGGGGGAUCCCAAGUGCUCAUGCAUUGCAUGGGCUGUUCUUUGGUCUAAGUAACCAGAGGAGUAAGGGCUGGGCAGGACCGGUGCCAGCCGCCGCGGUAAUACCGGCAGCUCGAGUGGUAGCCGCGAUUAUUGGGCCUAAAGCGUUCGUAGCCGGAUAAGUAAGUCUUUGGUUAAAUCCUGCGACUUAACCGUGGGAAAUCUAGAGAUACUGCUUGUCUUGAGACCGGGAGAGGUUGGAGGUACUCCUAGGGUAGGGGUGAAAUCCUGUAAUCCUAGGGGGACCACCUGUGGCGAAGGCGUCCAACUGGAACGGGUCUGACGGUGAGGGACGAAACCUAGGGGAGCGAGCCGGAUUAGAUACCCGGGU
rnacentral:rRNA from 1 species